UACGGAGGGUGCGAGCGUUAAUCGGAAUUACUGGGCGUAAAGCGCGCGUAGGCGGUCUGAUAAGCCGGUUGUGAAAGCCCCGGGCUCAACCUGGGAACGGCAUCCGGAACUGUCAGGCUAGAGUGCAGGAGAGGAAGGUAGAAUUCCCGGUGUAGCGGUGAAAUGCGUAGAGAUCGGGAGGAAUACCAGUGGCGAAGGCGGCCUUCUGGACUGACACUGACGCUGAGGUGCGAAAGCGUGGGUAGCAAACAGG
rnacentral:rRNA from 1 species